CAAAGGCCAGCAGCAGACAACCCUGAACUACUGGACUAGACACAAAACUGGAAGAAACCAGGCUUUGCUGGCUCUAUGGCUCAUGGCAUGAUUUGGUGCUCUCCCUGCAGUGUCACUUUGCCUUCACUGCACCUGGGACUCAGCUGUCCUGAUUAGGUGAAGAAUAUUCCCUGCAGAGGUUUUCAAAAUUGUGAACAGCCCCCACCCUGUCCUGCAGACAGUGAAAAGCUACAGCAAGCCUCUUCUGGACUGAGCAGUGUCAUGGUACAUUUGGAUACCUCAUCUUCACAGUACAAGUAUUUACUUCAUAAAUUCAACUGUAUUUUAUGAGCUCAUUAGGAAAGCAAACAGAAAACCCUGGCAAAUAAAGGCUCCAUCCCUUUUGUGCA